rnacentral:rRNA from 1 species
CACCGGCGGCUCGAGUGGUAACCGUUAUUAUUGGGUCUAAAGGGUCUGUAGCCGGCCGGAUAAGUCUCUUGAGAAAUCUGGCAGCUUAACUGUCAGGCUUUCAGGAGAUACUGUCUGGCUCGAGGCCGGGAGAGGUGAGAGGUACUUCAGGGGUAGGGGUGAAAUCUUGUAAUCCUUGAAGGACCACCAGUGGCGAAGGCGUCUCACCAGAACGGACCUGACGGCAAGGGACGAAAGCUAGGGGCACGAACCGGAUUAGAUACCCGGGUAGUCCUAGCCGUAAACGAUACUCGCUAGGUGUCGGCCACGGUGCGACCGUUGUCGGUGCCGUAGGGAAGCCGUGAAGCGAGCCACCUGGGAAGUACGGCCGCAAGGCUGAAACUUAAAGGAAUUGGCGGGGGAGCACCACAACGGGUGGAGCUUGCGGUUUAAUUGGAUUCAACGCCGGAAAUCUUACCGGGACCGACAGCAAUAUGAAGGCCAGGCUGAAGACUUUGCCGGAUUAGCUGA